GUUUUUUACUGUGUCUUGCAGGAAACAGCUCUUGCUGAUAGAACAAAGAGAUAAAGAUUAAUAGCAAAAAGAAUACUGGUUGCAAGCACAGAGGCAGCAUGGAGACAAUCUUAUCCAAAGAGCAGCACAGAAGAAGUAGACAAGAACAGAAUCCAAAAGCUAGGAACAAGGGUGACAAAUACAUUAAAGAAAACGUGGGAUACCAGAUGACAUAAGCUGGAACUAACUUAAUAAUAAGGCCAGGAACUUGGGAAGGACCACAGUCAGACCAGAUUUCUGACUGUACUAGUUCAGCUUAGCUAGACCAUUAGGAUUUCUUUCUUGAUUUAUUGCCCAAUCACAUAGAUUAUUAAAAAAUGAUUGCAAAAGGGUAUCAUCACUGAGUGUAUUUAAAAGGAAAACAAGGGGUAUUAACCUUAUCAAUCCCAGAAGCAUACCAAAGAAGUACAAGAAUCCUAGAGUAUUUAAUAUUCUUUUAUAUUUUGAAAGUAUUUGCAAAUAUUGGAAGAACAUUUUUAAAAUGUGCAUAUUGCAAUAAAAUGCAUAGUCCAACAACAUGA